UACAGAGGUGCCAAGCGUUGUUCGGAUUUAUUGGGCGUAAAGGGUGCGUAGGCGGCGGGGCAAGUCAGGUGUGAAAUCCCGGGGCUCAACCCCGGAACUGCAUUCGAUACUGCUUUGCUAGAGUACUGGAGAGGAGAUUGGAAUUUACGGUGUAGCAGUGAAAUGCGUAGAUAUCGUAAGGAAGACCAGUGGCGAAGGCGGAUCUCUGGACAGUUACUGACACUGAGGCACUAAGGCCAGGGGAGCAAACGGG
rnacentral:rRNA from 1 species